rnacentral:rRNA from 1 species
UACAGAGGGGGCAAGCGUUAUUCGGAAUUAUUGGGCGUAAAGGGCGCGUAGGCGGCCUGGCAAGUGGAAGGUGAAAUCCCUCGGCUUAACCGAGGAACUGCCUCCCAAACUGCUUGGCUUGAGACCGGGAGAGGUGAGUGGAAUUCCCAGUGUAGCGGUGAAAUGCGUAGAUAUUGGGAGGAACACCAGUGGCGAAGGCGGCCUGCUGGGCUGUUGCUGACGCUGAGGCGCGACAGCGUGGGGAGCAAACAGG